CAAAAUGUGCAAUUAUCGAAACUAUAUUUUCCUAUAAAUAGAAGUUUAUUCUUCCUUCAUUUCUCACUAAUUCACUAAGUCUCACAAGAGCAAUUAUAGAGAUAGAAGCUAUAGAGAGAAAGAAGAAGAGUAGUCUGCUACUUCACUACUCCAGUAUCCAGUCUUCUUCUGACCGCAUUGCGGAUAAAAAUCCAUUUAUAGUUUCGUAU
rnacentral:lncRNA from 1 species